GACGAACGCUGGCGGCGUGCUUAACACAUGCUAGUCGAACGGAAAGGCCCUGCUUGCCGGGUACUCGAGUGGCGAACGGGUGAGUAACACGUGGGUGAUCUGCCCUGCACUUCGGGAUAAGCCUGGGAAACUGGGUCUAAUACCGGAUAGGAGCCAUUUUUAGUGUGAUGGUUGGAAAGUUUUUUCGGUGUAGGAUGAGCUCGCGGCCUAUCAGCUUGUUGGUGGGGUAAUGGCCUACCAAGGCGGCGACGGGUAGCCGGCCUGAGAGGGUGGACGGCCACAUUGGGACUGAGAUACGGCCCAGACUCCUACGGGAGGCAGCAGUGGGGAAUAUUGCACAAUGGGCGCAAGCCUGAUGCAGCGACGCCGCGUGGGGGAUGACGGCCUUCGGGUUGUAAACUCCUUUCGCUAGGGACGAAGCUUUUUGUGACGGUACCUAGAUAAGAAGCACCGGCUAACUACGUG
rnacentral:rRNA from 1 species